GUCAAACCCUUUCUUUAUUUGAUUCGAGUGGUAGUUUGCAGUCGAAUUUUUCCCGAUAUUUUUUUUACUGCGAAUCGCUAAAAUGGAUAAAACCAAAAACAUAACAACAACAAAGAAACAGAUUGAGCAGCUGGUGCAGCUUUUGGAGAAAAAACCCGACAACGCAAAAGGAUUUAUACGUGGUAACUCCGGACCAUUUUGGAACGCUGAAUUAAACAGUUUGGGACCACCCAUCCGUGACGGGUCUGGAUGGAAAAACUAUUCCGAAAUAAUACAUAUGUAUUUCACUUUUAAUGUCCGGCAAGUGUGGGCGAACUAUAAAUCAGCGUAGAAGCGCAAACUCUCUCACAACAAAAGAGAGCAAAAGGCAACUGGAGGAGGACCCAACAGAACGAUACAUUUGUCUGAGCUAAAGGAGCAAGCAGUUCAGCUAACUUGAGACUGUUGGAAACCGUAGAAGGAAUACCAGGUUAUUCUUCACAAGGAACACCUAAGGGAAAAAAACAACGAUGUUAAUGCAGAUGUAAGUUGCGAUUCCAUUCACGAGUCCGACGACGCGAAUGAUACGGCUUUUCCUCACCGCUCCCAACCAAUGAGACCUUGGCUAUCAGCCCUCAAUUUAGUUCAAAUACAAAUUGAACAACAACAUAUUCCAUUGAAUCGCUGUUGGGUACCUCAAACAAAAAUCCCAAUGAUAUGGUACAUUAACAACACCAAUUCGCCAAAGCAAUCAACUCAAUAGACAUUGGUCUCAAAGAAAUGUUCAAAGAACAAAAUCGUCAUAACCGCGAAAUGGAAAACAUCGCUCGAGAGAAGCUGCAGAUUAAAAAACGAAUAUUUGAAAUGCAAAUAGAGCAUUUUCCGUACACUGAAAUGUUACAUUAUAAAAAUAACAAGUUUUAGACAUUAGAUCACCAAA